rnacentral:piRNA from 1 species
UGAUUUCUUGAAUCUUGUAGACAAAGUAAU